GGGGGCAUGUGCACGCUCUGUUCACACAUCCACUCACACCUGUGCACCCUCUGUAGUUCUAUGGUUGGGAGGAUGCACCGUCCUCCUGCUGUGGUUCUAUGUUUUUACACAUACACCUUAGUGAAGUUUUAUGGAAUGUGCACCGCGUUUAACGCAAUACAAUACAACUUUCAGCAACGGAUCUCUUGGCUCUCGCAUCGAUGAAGAACGCAGCGAAAUGCGAUAAGUAAUGUGAAUUGCAGAAUUCAGUGAAUCAUCGAAUCUUUGAACGCACCUUGCGCCCCUUGGGUAUUCCGAGGGGCAUGCCUGUUUGAGUAUCAUGAACACCUCAACUCCUCACGGUUUGCCGUGAUGAGCUUGGACUUUUGGAGGUUUUGCUGGCCUUUGGUCAGCUCCUCUCAAAUCGAUCAGCUCACCAGUGUUUGGUGACGUCACGGGUGUGAUAACUAUCUACGCUUGUGGCUGUCUGCCAGAU
rnacentral:rRNA from 1 species